GGAGCUAUAGUCUAGCGGUUAAGACGACAGUUUGGAGGCUUGACAUCCUCAACACCUGGGUUCGAUUCCCAGGUGUGACCA